GACUCGUCACACUAUCAUUAACUGAAUCCAUAGGUUAAUGAGGCGAACCGGGGGAACUGAAACAUCUAAGUACCCCGAGGAAAAGAAAUCAACCGAGAUUCCCCCAGUAGCGGCGAGCGAACGGGGAGGAGCCCAGAGCCUGAAUCAGCAGGUGUGUUAGUGGAAGUGUCUGGAAAGGCACGCGAUACAGGGUGAAAGCCCCGUACACGAAAAUGCACCUGGUGUGAGCUCGAUGAGUAGGGCGGGACACGUGGUAUCCUGUCUGAAUAUGGGGGGACCAUCCUCCAAGGCUAAAUACUCCUGACUGACCGAUAGUGAACCAGUACCGUGAGGGAAAGGCGAAAAGAACCCCGGCGAGGGGAGUGAAAAAGAACCUGAAACCGU
rnacentral:rRNA from 2 species